rnacentral:rRNA from 1 species
GACAGAGGGUGCGAGCGUUAAUCGGAAUAAUUGGGCGUAAAGGGCGCGUAGGUGGUAAUUUAGGUUUGGUGUGAAAGCUCUCGGCUUAACCGAGAAAGUGCAUCAAAUACCGGGUUACUAGAGUGAGAGAGAGGAUUGUGGAACUUUCGGUGUAGCGGUGAAAUGUGUAGAUAUCGAAAGGAACAUCAGUGGCGAAGGCGACAAUCUGGCUCUAAACUGACACUGAGGCGCGAAGGCAUGGGGAGCAAACAGG